rnacentral:rRNA from 1 species
UACGUAGGUGGCAAGCGUUGUCCGGAUUUAUUGGGUUUAAAGGGUGCGUAGGCGGCCCUGUAAGUCAGUGCUGAAAUCCCCCGGCUUAACCGGGGUGGUGGCAUUGAUACUGCAGGGCUUGAGUACAGAUGAGGUAGGCGGAAUUGACGGUGUAGCGGUGAAAUGCGCAGAUAUCAGGAGGAACACCGGUGGCGAAGGCGGGUCUCUGGGCCGAUACUGACGCUGAGGAGCGAAAGCGUGGGGAGCGAACAGG